rnacentral:rRNA from 1 species
UGGGGAAUAUUGCACAAUGGGCGGAAGCCUGAUGCAGCGACGCCGCGUGGGGGAUGAAGGCCUUCGGGUUGUAAACUCCUUUCGACAGGGACGAAGCUUUUGUGACGGUACCUGUAUAAGAAGCACCGGCUAACUACGUGCCAGCAGCCGCGGUAAUACGUAGGGUGCGAGCGUUGUCCGGAAUUACUGGGCGUAAAGAGCUCGUAGGUGGUUUGUCGCGUCGUCUGUGAAAUUCCGGGGCUUAACUCCGGGCGUGCAGGCGAUACGGGCUGACUUGAGUGCUGUAGGGGAGACUGGAAUUCCUAGUGUAGCGGUGAAAUGCGCAGAUAUCAGGAAGAACACCGAUGGCGAAGGCAGGUCUCUGGGUAGUAACUGACGCUGAGGAGCGAAAGCAUGGGUAGCGAACAGG